AGGAUGAACGCUGGCGGCGUGCCUAACACAUGCAAGUCGAGCGAUCUUCUUCGGAAGAGAGCGGCGGACGGGUGAGUAACGCGUGGGUAACCUGCCCUGUACACACGGAUAACAUACCGAAAGGUAUGCUAAUACGGGAUAACAUAUGAGAGUCACAUGACUUUUAUAUCAAAGCUUUUGCGGUACAGGAUGGACCCGCGUCUGAUUAGCUAGUUGGUAAGGUAACGGCUUACCAAGGCGACGAUCAGUAGCCGACCUGAGAGGGUGAUCGGCCACACUGGAACUGAGACACGGUCCAGACUCCUACGGGAGGCAGCAGUGGGGAAUAUUGCACAAUGGGCGAAAGCCUGAUGCAGCAACGCCGCGUGAGCGAUGAAGGCCUUCGGGUCGUAAAGCUCUGUCCUCAAGGAAGAUAAUGACGGUACUUGAGGAGGAAGCCCCGGCUAACUACGUGCCAGCAGCCGCGGUAAUACGUAGGGGGCUAGCGUUAUCCGGAAUUACUGGGCGUAAAGGGUGCGUAGGCGGUCUUUCAAGCCAGAAGUGAAAGGCUACGGCUCAACCGUAGUAAGCUUUUGGAACUGUAGGACUUGAGUGCAGGAGAGGAGAGUAGAAUUCCUAGUGUAGCGGUGAAAUGCGUAGAUAUUAGGAGGAAUACCAGUAGCGAAGGCGGCUCUCUGGACUGUAACUGACGCUGAGGCACGAAAGCGAGGGGAGCGAACAGGAUUAGAUACCCUGGUAGUCCACGCCGUAAACGAUGAGUACUAGGUGUCGGGGGUUACCCCCCUCGGUGCCGCAGCUAACGCAUUAAGUACUCCGCCUGGGAAGUACGCUCGCAAGAGUGAAA
rnacentral:rRNA from 1 species